CUGCGAUGAUGGCAUUUCUUAGGACACCUUUGGAUUAAUCAGGAAAACAACUACUCUCUGAGCAGC